GUAAUUAACUAUUUUCUUUCUUUUUUCUUUUUUAGGAAUAGGGUCUCAUAGGACAAUGUCUCAGUACAACCUCAAACUUCUUGGCUCAAGCGACCCUCUCGCCUCAGCCCCCCUAGUAGCUGGGACUACGGGCACACCACCAUGUCUAGCUGGGACUACAGGCACACCACCAUGCCUGGCUAAUUAAUUUUUUUUUUUUUUUUUUUAGAGAUAGGGUCUUGCUCUGUUGCCCAGGCUGAUCUCGAACUCCUGGGCUCAAGCAAUCCUCCUGCCUCAGCCUUCCAAAAUGUUGGGAUUAUAGGCGUGAGUCACUGCACCUGGCCUUGUAAUGAUCUAAUUUCUUGUAUGGUUUAUUUAUCAGGGUCUGCCUUCCUAACAGGCUGUAGGUUCCUCAAGGGUUGGGACUGUGCCUGUGUUCUGGGCACCUGCCCAUGCCUGGCAAUUUGAAGAAGCUCAAUUGCUACAUGUUGAAGGAAUGAAUAAUUGCAUGAGCAACCAUCGAUAAUUGCAUGCUACAACCAUCAAACUUGCAGGGUUCUUCCAUGGAAUAAGUGAGGUAAUUAUGUGUAAAAAUGAAUGAAUGUUGUACUUGUUAUAAAAUAAGAUCAUGGGCUGGAGAAAUAGUCCAGCGAAUGAGUGAACGAAUCAAUGGCCUCAGCUGCCCGAGUGGGCGGAGCUUACGUUCUUUCCACAAGGGAAGUUCCCUAGGAGUUUCCGUCAGUAGCUCCCGAGCACGCCGGAGGCCUGGCCUGUGGAUGAGAUUGUUCCUUAUUUCCCCAGCUUCAGCACCACAGAAGAGACCAGAGUCUACCUUGCCAGCUCCUCUAGCACCGACCACGUGCCAAUUCAUGUCCUGAAUGCUCACUUCACUUCUUCACCUUGCUUCACUUCACUUACUGCACGGGAACAGAAAAGCCUAGAGAGGAUGGAUUACCUGUGCGGUUGCCUCCCUCUGCAGAGUGGGCGUGUCUCAGGAGCUUCUCUUCUUCUCCAGCCCAGUGCGGCCUCGUGUCAUCCAUAGGACCCACCGGCAGAGGGCAGGGCCUGCGAGUGGGGCCAGCCUCCUGGUGACUCUCGCCUCCUCUUUUCCAGCGGACGCUACCAGAGGACGAAGGUCUGACUCUGGCCAACGGCCCAGAAUUUCUGGCCCAGUUUUGCCUGAGGAAGCCAACUGUGCAGGAGGUCAGGAUCCCGGUAGGGUGAGAGUGGGAAAGUUAACAUUCCCAAGAGACUCCAAGCAACAGGAUUUCCUGACCUGGGACUAUUACCUUUCUCACAUUACAUGGCCAGAUUUACUUCCUGCUAUUAUUAAAAGUACGAAAAAGAUGAAGAUAUGUGUUUAAUGGAAACAAGGGCAAGAGUUUGCCUGACUGGACUUUGAGGAGGCUGUAGGAUCAUGGCGCUAACGGCAUUUGGAGGGCUGGGAAGGGACUCUAGCCCUGGCUUUACCUGCCUUUGUCAUCAGCUGGAGCAAGCAACUCCGCAACCUCGGAGCCUCAGUUUCCUUUUCUGUAAAAGGCGGGGAGGGUGGGUGGUAAGUGCAAUGCUGAAUCAGAACUCAUAGAGCUGCUGGGUGGACAUGUGAAGUAAAAGAGGAGACAGCUUUUGCUCCUGAAGGAUGCCAUUUGCGUUUUCCUCAUCAGUUUGAUCUCCUCCAAUCAUCCAGCACCUCCAUCUGACCUUCUCAGCUGAGAGGUCCUCAGUGUUUCUGUGGCCUCCAGGAGAAAGGUCCCCCUCCCCGGCUGAGGCCAGGCUGAUGGCAGGCUGCACGGCCAGCCUUCCACAGUCACCUGAAGGAUACAGAAAAGGAAGAGCUGGAGGCUUCUAGCAAGCUGCCGAACUGUGUCCUCCAGCUGCGCCCAGCCCCCUGGAGGUAGCGCCGGAGCACGUGGUGGUGGCUAUGUAGGAAGGCCCCUUUCGAGCCGCCCUAUACUGUCUUUGGGAUCUGCUUUUUACUGCCACAGCCUAUGUGCUCCUGAUUCUUCUCUCAAUCCCUGGAUGGAAACCGGCCUCUGAUACUUGGCUCUGCUUCCUUGGAGGAGCUACUUAACCAUUCAGUCCUCUCUGCAGUUAGCUAUUAAGGUUGUCCUGCGAACUGAAGCAGAGAGUCCCCGCAAAGGGUGCAGAGUAGGGCACCCACAGAGGAGCCUCUAAAGCACUUUCCAUGAGGUGGAUGGCUUCUCCUCCCCAAGGGACCCAGGAAGGAAAGGAGAGCUGCUUCUGCCUCCCCAGCAGAGAGGGACCUUCCCAGAGAAGAUGUCUUGCGCCUCACCUGAUCUUGUUCUGAGAGUAGGAGACUGGAAGAGAAGCGUUCAACUCCCCAAACACAGCUGGGUUUGUUUCGUUUAAUCUCCCAGCCUGUUUUUCUGCUGUCCUCCUGAAGAAUGUUUAAUCUCACAGUUAAAACCACCAAAAGCGACUUUUUUCCCCCUCAACUGCUCAGUAACACAUGACCGUGCAAAUUCGUUUGGCCCCAGCGCCACAAGUCAUAAAAGGCAUCUAGUGGGCGGCAUGAGUCAAUCAGGCCUUUGGACGGUGACGUAACCACAGCUUGUCAGUUUCCCCAUCCAGGCAGCCCCAAUCCCCCAGUGCAGACAUCUGGAGCCAGGGAUUGACAAGUGGAUUCCAGGAUUGGGCCCUGCCUCCCGCCCUGUUCAGUUCCAGCCCAGCCACGGCCGCCGCCAACGAGGACACGCACUGUCUUUCUGCACAUUCCCACGUACACACACCCCCGCAGCCCCCUCUCCACUCAUUCCUGCAUUUCCGGCAAUGUGAAUUCUGACAGCUCGGGCAGUGUCAGCCUCUCCGGUGCAUUCCUCACCACACCACCUCACUGCUCCCGAGCCUGCUGACAGCACUCCCCGCCAUACCUACCAAGCCGAAGGUGCAAGGAACCUCUUGAUCCCCACUGUGUCUUUGUCCCAGGGCCACAGCAAAAUAGCACCCCCCUCCCCCACACACCCUCUAGCCUAAUUUAUUAGACUUUUAAACACAUUUAUUUACUGUGAUAUCUACACCACACCAAACAUCUGGAGGGAAACCGGGAGACAAUCCACCAGGAAUUUAAAUGUUUGUUCUGCAAUGUAACUUUGAAAACCGAACCAGGAAAACUUGACAUCUUUAGCCAAUUGCUUGGUGGUGAGUAGACUUAAGCCAAUAUAUAAUCUGUAAAGGUUGUCCCUCUUUGCCCUCUCUCUAUCCAUGAAACGCAUUCACCAAACAGCCCAGAAAUAUUUCUUUCUUCUCCUCUCAGAGGUAUGUGAAACCAACCUGAAUCAACAACAUAGUUGUUCAACCAGCCUCACUGAGAACGAAGGCAUUUCAGAGCUGGAAAGACGCUAGGGUCUGGGGUCUUAUCUUCCACAUUUAUCUGCCUUAUUAUAAUCCAUCCAGUCAUCCUCUUUGCCCUUGCCAGAUCUCAUCGCUUACACUACCACUACCGAAGGAGCAUAACGUCUGUGACUUUUCUUUUUUUUUUUUUUUUUUUUUGAGAUGGAGUCUUGCUCGGUAACCGGGCUGAAGUGCAGUGGCAGGAUCUUGGCUUACUGCAACCUCUGCUUCCUGGGUUCAAGUGAUUCUCCUGCCUCAGCCUUCUGAGUAGCUGGGACUCCAGGCAUGCGCCACCACGCCCAGUUAAUUUUUGUAUUUUUAGUAGAGAUGGGGUUUCACUAUGUUGGCCAGGUUGGUCUCGAACUCCUGACCUCGUGAUCCAUCUGCCUCGGCCUCCCAAAGUGCUGGGAUGACAGGUGUGAGCCACCGCACCCGGCCACGUCUGUGACUUUUCUAAAGCUUUAAGAUGAUGUCACCCAUAGGCAGAAAGGCCCACUCAUUUCGUGCAUCUGCAGUCACUCUUCUGACGAGGUGCGGCUCUCUUUUGUUCUAUCAAAGAGAAAGCCAGUCUAAAUUAAUGGGAAACUAGAGAAUUAGGUCAUUUUUCAAGAUGAAAUUGCUGGUAGCUUAAGGAAUCAGCUACUUGAAUCCCAUGCUAAAAAAGUGUAACUCCUGAGGAGUGAGCUCUUCUUUCUUCCUUCCAUAAUGUCAGGCACUAAGGGAGGUUCAGAAACACAGAGCAGCAUCUACUCCUUUCUCAACGAGCGUGGGGUCCAGUGCAGUUGGCCCUCAUUUAACAAAUAAUUACACCCAUGCGUGAAAGGUCCAGUGGGGAAACAGUGCGGGGAGCCUCAGGCAGAGCUGAUUCAGGCCUGGGGAGGCACGGGAGCCACAUGUUCAGGGUCCACAGGCCCAGCGGAGUGAUACGGAAGUUUCCAAGAUGGUAAGCCUCUCUCCUGGCCCAUGCUCACCAACGGGACCCCAUUCCUAACCAGGCUUUCCCUCUCUCUCUUUUAAGUGUUCCAGGAAUGUUCCUACCCCUGCGUCUUUGCUGAAGCCCCUCUUGCCUGGGAUGCCCUCUGUCCUCUCUUUCUGCCCACACACAUCCUGCCAGUCCUUCAGACAGGGCCAGCCUCACGGGCAUAGGACCUGAGCAGUUUCACAGGGCCCUAUGCACAGAAGGAUCCCAAGCUCGGUUGAUUGCUCCGAUCUUGCCAUCUUGAAACUCUUUGAUAAUUUUAUCUUUUAUCUUGUGUUUUGGGAGUGAAAUCCAAUGGGAUAUUGGGGCCUGCAAAGGAGAAGAGGAGAUCCGCACAAACCCGUUCCUGGCUGCUGCAUUCACCUCCAGCGUUUGUGAUGCCCCAGAGCACAGAACUCCAGGGAGCCCACGAUGCAGGAGAGUUCAGCGACAUUCACUGAGUACAAGAGAAGUGAGUUACUCCUGCAGCUGAGCACGGGGGGCGCUGGCAACUGCGAAAGGUCUCGCUUUCCAUUCCAACCAGAACUUGCUCCUAGCGCAGACAGAAGGCCGUGGCAUUCUGAGAAACACACAUGAUGAAGGAGCCCUGUCAUAUCCUCUCUUCCUUGCAUCGCUUCCCCGUGUGAGCAACCACUUGUGCUGGAAAUGAUGACAAGGAAGGACCGGGAAAGACAGGGCCACCCGCAGUUCCUUUUCCUUGACGUCUUUCCUUCCUCAUCAGCGAGCUGAGGUGGAGAGCGUUGGUAGAAUGUGUGCAUAAUAAGAAGUGAAAUAAAAACAGUCGAGUUAGUAUUCUACUGUUUCCACUGUUCUGGUGAGAACAAAACACAUAUGCUGUAUAUGCUUUGAAAUACAAAGUGUGUAAUUUUAGUGAUUCUGCAUAGGAGUUAAAUGUUUUUAUAUUUGCAUUUAAAACUGCCAUUGUAUACUAUAAAGAUAAAGAGUAAAAUGUAUUCUAAUAGUUUAACUUUACUAAUAAUUUAGUUUUUACUUUUAUUUACCUAGAGUAACAUUAAAUAGCAAACAAACAAAACAAACAUCACAAGUUGAGAGAGAAACCACAAAAGAAAGAAAAAAGCUUUAUAUGUUAGUACCUUGAGAGGCACUUUUUCCUGCUUUUUGAGUAGGGAUUCAUGUUUUCCCGUUGCACUGGGCCUCACAAAUAAUGUAGCCAGCCCUGCCUUCAAAGUGCAUUCAAGUGACUCCCCCUUCAUAAUCACUUAAGCCUGGAGCCACGGCCUUGCCCCUGAACACGUAGAACAGUCAUGGCCGUACCAACCGUGAGCCAUUCUUGCCUCUCUCUCUUUUGUCUUAUUCUCUUGUCAUCUGUCCACCUCGCAGGACUGUUGGGAGGCACCAAUGGACUUUGCAACUGGAGAUCUCCCAACUGGACCAUGUCACUGUUAUGUUUAAUUUGCACUGUGCACAGUAGGUACCCAGUCAACGUUUGUCGAAUUCCAUGGACUGGGCCUUAUACCUCCGAGGAUUUUUCACAGCAGUAGCAUGUGCACAUGCACAGAACGAGAACACAACCAAUGCUUGUUUGCUGGUGAAGACCUGGUCUCAGUAUUUUGCCCAGGAAACCCUUUCUUCAUGGACAGCAUGAGGCAAGCUAUGGCCCUUGCUGUGGUCUCAGUGGUUCAGCACGGAAGAUGAAGAUGACGGGCAGUCUCAGAAUAUUAGCUUUAGAAGGGACUUUGGAUCCUUUUGAUUUUGGUAGGUGAAAUACUUUUUAAAAAUAAAGAAAACGGACUUUGGACAAAUGCUCUCAUUUUGUAAAUGAAAAAGUAGAGACAGGAAGAGUAACUGAUUUGUCCAAAAUCAAACAAAGUAAAUUGUGUUGCAUCCUCUCCAUCCGUAACCACCUUCGCCUUCCCUAACUGCUCCAUGUGGCCUGGGAAAGUCCACUUCACCUCGUCUUAGAGGUGGGCUUCUGAUUCUAGCUAAGCCAACCCCCA
rnacentral:lncRNA from 10 species